UACGAAGGACCCGAGCGUUAUCCGGAUUUAUUGGGUUUAAAGGGUGCGUAGGCGGACCUAUAAGUCAGUGGUGAAAUCCCAUCGCUCAACGAUGGAAUUGCCAUUGAUACUGUAGGUCUUGAGUAUAGUUGAGGUGGGCGGAAUGUGUCAUGUAGCGGUGAAAUGCUUAGAUAUGACACAGAACACCUAUUGCGAAGGCAGCUCGCUAAGCUAUAACUGACGCUGAGGCACGAAAGUGUGGGUAGCAAACAGG
rnacentral:rRNA from 1 species